GCCUGUGAUUUAAAGCAUCAAACAAACAUGCUAAAGAGCAAGGAAUAAAAACCAUUGUACCUGAGACUUGUAUCCUUUGCCAAAGUGCUGUUGUCUAUUUAUAUGGAAUUGAUGACAUGAGACUUCUCUGAUUGAUCCAAAAGAUCAUCUGGCUACAGAAGAUGAACAAGGUUUGAAACCCAGCAACAUUCUUGUAGCCGAGAGUUCUACCUUUUUGCAAGUGCUACUUUCUUUUAUUUUUUGUGCAGAAUUGAUGGCAGGAUUGAUUCAGAAGAGAAAUAGUCUGAUGGAGGAGGUGCCUGCAGCUGCAUUGCAGCCUCGCCGGUACACCGAUUUCAAACCGCAGCAUCGAUGGUUCUCAGACGAGAAAUGCAAAUCCCUAAUUGUUGAGUUACCGGGAUUCGAGCAAGAAAAACUCGUCCUUCUCAUCGACACCUGCCAUCGACUAAAGCUCAAAGGCGAGCGGCACAUCGAAGGCGAUCGAUGGAGUCGAUUCGACAUGGUCGUUCGCGCUCCAAAACACUACGACACCGAACUAGUCACAGCCAAGUUCGACCCAGACAACGGCCUUCUCUGCGUCACACUGCCUGACUCAGCCUCUAAGCCUCCGCCGGCACCGGCGACAGAAUGCAGCGACCGAAGAAGAAGGCUACAACCGAUAGCCAACUUUGCCGUCCAUUACAAAUUGACGACAGCAUGGGAGAGGCUGUGCAAACUCUUCUGCGUGCGGAUCGAAGUGAAUGACUCGUUUAAGAGAGUGGAUUCCGCAAAGCGAUGAAACCGUGUAAUGAAGUGCAAGUGUUUAGCUUCUGUUGGAACCAAAGACUGUAAGACGUGCAAGUGUGUGUGACCAUGAAUUCUUCUUCUUCUCCA